rnacentral:rRNA from 1 species
UUGGAGGGCAAGUCUGGUGCCAGCAGCCGCGGUAAUUCCAGCUCCAAUAGCGUAUAUUAAAGUUGUUGCAGUUAAAAAGCUCGUAGUUGAAUUUCGGGACCAAUUUGUUGGUCGUGCCUCGGUACGUACUGGUAUUAUUGGUUUCUCCCUUCUGAAGAACCUUGAUGUCAUUAAUUUGGUGUCUUGGGGAAUCAGGACUGUUACUUUGAAAAAAUUAGAGUGUUUAAAGCAGGCAUACGCUUGAAUACAUUAGCAUGGAAUAAUGAAAUAGGACGUUUGAUUCUAUUUUGUUGGUUUCUAGGAUCGACGUAAUGAUUAAUAGGGAUAGUUAGGGGCAUUAGUAUUCAAUUGUCGGAGGUGAAAUUCUUGGAUUUAUUGAAGACUAACUACUGCGAGAGCAUUUGCCAAGGAUGUUUUCAUUAAUCAAGAACGAAAGUUAGGGGAUCGAAGACGAUCAGAUACCGUCGUAGUCUUAACCAUAAACUAUGCCGACUAGGGAUCGGAUGAUGUUAAUUUUUUAAUGACUCAUUCGGCGCCUUACGGGAAAC